CAAUAGCGUAUACUAACGUUGUUGCAGUUAAAAAGCUCGUAGUUGGAUUUCUGUAGUGGGAUGCCGGCCGGGUUCUCUGAACUUGUAGCUAGGUUAUCUUGCUGCAUCUUGUCGUAAUUCUCACUGGCAUUCAUUUGUUGGUGUAGAGGACCGACUCGUUUACUUUGAGAAAAUUAGAGUGUUUAAAGCAGGCUAUAGCUUUGAAUAUGUUAGCAUGGAAUAAUAAUAUAGGACUUUACGUUCUAUUUUGUUGGUUGUUCGAGGACGUAAGUAAUGAUUGAUAGGGACAGUUGGGGGGCAUCAGUAUUCUGAAGCGAGAGGUGAAAUUCUUGGACCUUCGGAAGACUAACAACUGCGAAAGCAUUUGCCUAGGAUGUUCUCUUUAAUCAAGAACGAAGGU
rnacentral:rRNA from 1 species